rnacentral:rRNA from 1 species
AAAUUGAAGAGUUUGAUCAUGGCUCAGAUUGAACGCUGGCGGCAGGCCUAACACAUGCAAGUCGAGCGGUAGCACAGAGAGCUUGCUCUCCGGUGACGAGCGGCGGACGGGUGAGUAAUGUCUGGGAAACUGCCUGAUGGAGGGGGAUAACUACUGGAAACGGUAGCUAAUACCGCAUAAUGUCGCAAGACCAAAGUGGGGGACCUUCGGGCCUCAUGCCAUCAGAUGUGCCCAGAUGGGAUUAGCUAGUAGGUGGGGUAACGGCUCACCUAGGCGACGAUCCCUAGCUGGUCUGAGAGGAUGACCAGCCACACUGGAACUGAGACACGGUCCAGACUCCUACGGGAGGCAGCAGUGGGGAAUAUUGCACAAUGGGCGCAAGCCUGAUGCAGCCAUGCCGCGUGUGUGAAGAAGGCCUUCGGGUUGUAAAGCACUUUCAGCGGGGAGGAAGGCG